CGGAAAACAGACGGAGAAAUUGUUUUGCAGGCCAAGCAAGAAAAUACUUCCUUUGGAGCCGGCCUUCAGGGAGAGAGAGACGCCCUUCUUUUGAUCGUUUGCUUUUCUUUUUAGAUAUUCUUUCAAACAGGCUGGUUGUUUGGGAAUCCGACCUAGAUUGGGAGGUCUCUCCCACCCCUAACUAAAGAUUGGAAACAAACCGAGAACGAAUACCGACCGGGAGGGAAGAAUAAAAAGAUCUUUAAAAAGAUAGUUACACAGUAAGUUUGUUUGUUAGAAAGCAAUUGUUGGCAGACUGACUGGUCUGUCUGCAAUCUAUCUUUCCGUCUGCCUGCACGCGCUUGCUAGGCCUGCCUCCCACCAUUUAUUUUACUUGUGAAAAAAAACGAAAAAAAAGGCGGCCCCCUUGUGGGAGUGAUACUCCCACAAAACAUACCUUGGGAUGGAGGAAGGAACCCAACGC
rnacentral:rRNA from 1 species